ACAUUCGCAUUGCGACCGAUCAACUCGAAAUGAGGGCCCUUGUUCUCCCAGGGUGAGGUUCAUUCAUUGCAUUCUGGGUAUGCUGACCCCUGUGAUUUCCCCAAAUGUGGGAAACUCGACUGCAUUAUUUGUGGUAGUGGGGGACUGUGUUUGUGCUUUCCUCUG